GCCAAAGUAGCUCAUUGGGGAGAGCGUUAGCCUGGAAAUCUGAAGAUCACUGGUUCAAUCCCAGGCUUUGGCA
rfam:Pelodiscus sinensis unplaced genomic scaffold scaffold7388, whole genome shotgun sequence.